AACUUUUAGCAACGGAUCACUUGGUUCUGGCAUCGAUGAAGACCGCAGCGAAAUGCGAUAAGUAAUGUGAAUUGCAGAAUUCAGUGAAUCAUCGAAUCUUUGAACGCACAUUGCGCCCGCCAGUAUUCUGGAGGGCAUGCCUGUUCGAGCGUCAUUUCAACCCUCAAGCCCCCGGGCAUGGUGUUGGAGAUCGGCGUGCCUUCCGGGGCGCGCCGGCUCCAAAAUAUAGUGGCGGUCUCGCUGUAGCUUCCUCUGCGUAGUAGCACAUCUCGCACUGGAAAACAGCGUGGCUACGCCGUUAAACCCACCACUUCUCAAAGGUUGACCUCGGAUCAGGUAGGAAUACCCGCUGAAAUUAAGCAUAUCAAUAAGCGGAGGCU
rnacentral:misc_RNA from 1 species